rnacentral:rRNA from 1 species
GACGAACGCUGGCGGCGUGCUUAACACAUGCAAGUCGAACGGAAAGGCCCUGCUUUUGUUGGGUUCUCGAGUGGCGAACGGGUGUGUAACACGCGAGUAUCCUGUCCCUGACUUUGGGAUAACUUCAGGAAACUGGGGCUAAUACCGGAUAUGAUCUCCUGCUGCACGGUGGGGGUUGGAAAGUUUCGGCGGUUGGGGAUGGACUCGCGGCUUAUCAGCUUGUUGGUGUGGUAGUGGCUUACCAAGGCUUUGACGGGUAGCCGGCGUGGGAGGGUGACCGGCCACAUUGGGACUGAGAUACGGCCCAGACUCCUACGGGAGGCAGCAGUGGGGAAUAUUGCACAAUGGGCGGAAGCCUGAUGCAGCAACGCCGCGUGCGGGAUAACGGCCUUCGGGUUGUAAACCGCUUUCGCCUGUGACGAAGCGUGAGUGACGGUAAUGGGUAAAGAAGCACCGGCUAACUACGUG